UCCCUGAUGGUCUAGUAGCUAAGAUUCUGCACUCCCAAUUCAGGGAGCCAGGGUUCGAUUCCUAGUCAGGGAA
rnacentral:tRNA from 1 species